rnacentral:rRNA from 1 species
AUUGAACGCUGGCGGUAUGCUUAACACAUGCAAGUCGAACGGUAACAGGCCUUCGGGCGCUGACGAGUGGCGGACGGGUGAGUAACGCGUAGGAAUCUGCCUCAUAGUGGGGGACAACGUGGGGAAACUCACGCUAAUACCGCAUACGCCCUACGGGGGAAAGCGGGGGAUCUUCGGACCUCGCGCUAUGAGAUGAGCCUGCGUUAGAUUAGCUAGUUGGUAGGGUAAAGGCCUACCAAGGCGACGAUCAGUAGCCGACCUGAGAGGGUGAUCGGCCACAUUGGAACUGAGACACGGUCCAAACUCCUACGGGAGGCUG